AUUCUUCAGCUGAGCUCCUGAUUUGAAAUUUCUUUAACUUGUUGCUUGGUUUUCAAUUUCAUCACCCUAUUCUCCAGGCGGGCUCCUGACUUGCUAUUUUCGAUCUGUUGACUUUCAUUUUCUUCACUUUGUUACUUGACUUUCAACUUCUUCACCUUGUCGCUUGACUUUCAAUUUCUUCACCUUGCUGCUUGACUUUCCAUUUAUUCGCUCUGUGCUUCGGGCGGGCUCCUAAAAUCACA
rnacentral:lncRNA from 1 species